AGAGUUUGAUCCUGGCUCAGAACGAACGCUGGCGGCAUGCCUAACACAUGCAAGUCGAACGGGAUCCUGGCUUCGGUCAGGUGAGAGUGGCGGACGGGUGAGUAACGCGUGGGAACCUGCCCAGUGGUGGGGGAUAACUGCGGGAAACUGCAGCUAAUACCGCAUGAGCCCGAGAGGGGAAAGAUUUAUCGCCAUUGGAGGGGCCCGCGUUCGAUUAGGUAGUUGGUGAGGUAACGGCUCACCAAGCCGACGAUCGAUAGCUGGUCUGAGAGGAUGAUCAGCCACACUGGGACUGAGAUACGGCCCAGACUCCUACGGGAGGCAGCAGUGGGGAAUAUUGGACAAUGGGGGCAACCCUGAUCCAGCAAUGCCGCGUGAGUGAUGAAGGCCUUCGGGUUGUAAAGCUCUUUUGGCGGGGACGAUGAUGACGGUACCCGCAGAAUAAGCCCCGGCUAACUUCGUGCCAGCAGCCGCGGUAAUACGAAGGGGGCAAGCGUUGUUCGGAAUUACUGGGCGUAAAGGGCGCGUAGGCGGCCGAUCAAGUCAGGCGUGAAAUUCCCGGGCUCAACCCGGGGGCUGCGCUUGAUACUGAUUGGCUUGAAUACGGGAGAGGAUAGUGGAAUUCCCAGUGUAGAGGUGAAAUUCGUAGAUAUUGGGAAGAACACCAGUGGCGAAGGCGGCUAUCUGGCCCGUUAUUGACGCUGAGGCGCGAAAGCGUGGGGAGCAAACAGGAUUAGAUACCCUGGUAGUCCACGCCGUAAA
rnacentral:rRNA from 1 species